UCCCCAGCUUGCUGGGGGGAUUAGUGGCGAACGGGUGAGUAACACGUGAGUAACCUGCCCUUGACUCUGGGAUAAGCCUGGGAAACUGGGUCUAAUACUGGAUACGACCUUCUGGCGCAUGCCAUGUUGGUGGAAAGCUUUUGUGGUUUUGGAUGGACUCGCGGCCUAUCAGCUUGUUGGUGGGGUAAUGGCCUACCAAGGCGACGACGGGUAGCCGGCCUGAGAGGGUGGACGGCCACACUGGGACUGAGACACGGCCCAGACUCCUACGGGAGGCAGCAGUGGGGAAUAUUGCACAAUGGGCGCAAGCCUGAUGCAGCGACGCCGCGUGAGGGAUGAAGGCCUUCGGGUUGUAAACCUCUUUCAGUAGGGAAGAAGCGAAAGUGACGGUACCUGCAGAAGAAGCGCCGGCUAACUACGUGCCAGCAGCCGCGGUAAUACGUAGGGCGCAAGCGUUAUCCGGAAUUAUUGGGCGUAAAGAGCUCGUAGGCGGUUUGUCGCGUCUGCCGUGAAAGUCCGGGGCUUAACUCCGGAUCUGCGGUGGGUACGGGCAGACUUGAGUGAUGUAGGGGAGACUGGAAUUCCUGGUGUAGCGGUGAAAUGCGCAGAUAUCAGGAGGAACACCGAUGGCGAAGGCAGGUCUCUGGGCAUUAACUGACGCUGAG
rnacentral:rRNA from 1 species